CUCUUACAAAUAAGUGCAGAAUGGUCUUAAACAUGAAGUCAAAUGGAUCAUAGUACUAAUGCUAAAUCUUUUAUCCAGUGUAUAUUCAUUAAAAUCUGUAAUGUCCAAAAACAAAUGACUGUUAUUACAUAUGUUUCUUUGAUAAAUCCAGAUUAUUCAUCUAUAAUAAAACAGAAUUGUAAAUUUCACCUCUUAGCAAAAAUGGGUACAAAUAUUUUGGUUUCAUUUCUUAAAGACUGGCUGCUCUCAAGCUUUAUUAAUUUAUGCAUUUUUGGUUUGCAGACAUUGGAGGGCUCCGGCCCAGCCCACCAACUGUCUCCCUCUCUCUGACUCUUAAGUGUUAGUGUCGUAACUUUCAGCUUCAUCUAACAUCAAAGUUCAUUACAGAUAGUUUCAUCUGAAGCUCAGAUUCUGAUUUUAAUACAGAAACACAGAAAUGUUUGCUGGAACUGCGUCACUCUGCUCCACUUUGCUGUUUCUCAGCGUCUUCAUGUUUGUCUCUUCAGAUCAGAAAAUCAUCACAGCUGAUAUUGGAGACAGUGUCAUUCUGCCAUGUCGAGUUACAAACAAGAUCACAGCUGUAAAGUGGAUCAAACACUACCUGGGAGAGAAAAUUGUCUUUUUGUACCAGGAUAAUAAAGUUGAUUCAGAUAACCAGAAUUCAUUUUAUAAGAACCGGGUGGAUCUGCAGGACAGACAUAUGAAGGAUGGAGACGUGUCUAUAAUUCUGAAGGAUGUGACGAUUUAUGAUAAUGGAACAUACCACUGUCAUGUUAAAGUAGCAGGAACAAACUCAUGGAAAUACAUCAGCUACAUCUACCUUCAUGUUGAUCCUCCAGGUCGAUCAGGAGGACUGGGUGGAUCUAUUGGACUGAUUGUAGGUGUGGUAGUUGCUGUUAUGGUUGUUUCUCUUUGUCUUUCUUUCUGUUUCUGUACAGCUCUGAGAAAUAUUGUCACACGCUAUCUUCAGACCAGAGCACAACCGCGAGUCAUAUGAUCUAAACAGACGAAAUUUAAGGUUGUACUUUUGUUUCCUUUGCCUGUGUGAAAGACACUGAGAUCAUUUUGUGAGUAAUGUGAUACAGUUUAUUAAAACAGUAUGUCUGUAUGUGGUUUUGCUAAUAGUUAAUUUUGCUUAAUUACAAUCAAAAUAUGCUCAAGAAUAAACCUGAUAAAAAGAAUGAAUGAAAAUGUAGUUUGAGUUGUGUUAUUAUUUUAAUACCAUGAUUUUGUUUUUCUGGGUUGGUCUGAUUCUCCUUCAGCCUUGGCAGAUUAGUCUCAGUAUGUGAGACUAACUGGGGAAGAAUAUGAGACAGAUGAAAGUGUGGCAGCCUCUGGCACAUUCAAAAUAUGGAAUAUGUCAUUUUGCUAAUAGCUGGACAUGCUUAACUCGAAUCAGCAUAUACUCAGGAAUGAAUCUAAUCAGAAUGAUAAAUGAAAGGACUGAUUUUAA
ensembl:lncRNA